rnacentral:rRNA from 1 species
UACGGAGGAUGCGAGCGUUAUCCGGAUUUAUUGGGUUUAAAGGGUGCGCAGGCGGCAGAUUAAGUCAGCGGUGAAAUCCCGACGCUCAACGUCGGCAUUGCCGUUGAAACUGGUUUGCUUGAGUGUAGAUGAAGUAGGCGGAAUUCGUUGUGUAGCGGUGACAUGCUUAGAUAUAACGAGGAACUCCGAUUGCGUAGGCAGCUUACUAAACUAUUACUGACGCUCAUGCACGAAAGCGUGGGGAUCAAACAGGAUUAGAUACCCUGGUAGUCCACGCCGUAAACGAUGAUUACUAGUUGUAUGCGAUAUGAUAGUAUGUGACUAAGCGAAAGCGAUAAGUAAUCCACCUGGGGAGUACGCCGGCAACGGUGAA